rnacentral:rRNA from 1 species
GAUAGGCCGGGUGUGUAAGCGCAGAGAUGCGUUGAGCUAACCGGUACUAAUGAACCGUGAGGAUUAACCUUAAAACGCCGAAG